GCACGGCUGAAAGUGGUUUACGGCGUUUUAUGAAUAUGCAUCAGUCGAAAUUGAAGAGGAACGCCCGAAUGCGUCCGCAAUUCCAGUUGCAUAUAUUACGCGGCGCACAACGGUAUACCGCGUACACUCGUAACGGUUUGUAACCGAGAAAUUAUGCUCGUAUUGCUCGUUAUAGGCUCGUUAAAUUUUGUCCUCUUUUUUUUUUCUUUUUUUUUUCUUUUUUUUUUUUACGUAUUUCGACCACGUUAAAUUAAUAUGGCAUAUAAAUUAACACUAUCGGUUCACGCAUUGUUCUCAAAAUCUUUGCCGAUUCGUAACAAAUGACUCGCCAUGUAUAUAUUUGUGUUUACAUAAAUAUUAUAUUUUCAAACUUUUACGCGUUUUAUCAAUGGAAUAUUCGUCGAUUGACAACAGCGGUAUCGUUUGAUAUCUGGAACUUAAUUCCACAACGCCAAUUAAUUCGGCGAAUUAUACAAAGUAUUAUUACGUUUUGAAUGUUUCGUUUUAAAAAACGCUCAAUAAUCCAAACAAAAAUGCAGUAUAAAGAUUGUUUAAUAAAUAAAGAUGAUAUACAGAAUUCGUUGGCAGAAAUUU